GUACACGCUGUGACUAGCAUAUCAAUAAGCGGAGGAAAAGAAACUAACAAGGAUUCCCCUAGUAACGGCGAGUGAAGCGGGAAGAGCUCAAAUUUGAAAUCUUAAAGGGUUUCCCUUUACGAAUUGUAGUUUAAAGAAGUGUUUUCUGUUGAGGUUUUGGUAAAAGUUCUUUGGAAUAGGACAUCAUAGAGGGUGAGAAUCCCGUAUUUGACCUUUACUUUCAACUUUGUGAUACACUUUCAAAGAGUCGGAUUGUUUGGGAAUGCAGUCCAAAAUGGGUGGUAAAUUUCAUCUAAAGCUAAAUAUUGGCGAGAGACCGACUAGCGAACAAGUACCGUGAGGGAAAGAUGAAAAGAACUUUGAAAAGAGAGUUAAACAGUACGUGAAAUUGUCAAAAGGGAAGCGUUUGACACCAGUGUUGUUUUUCUGAAAAUCAAUUAAAGAACUGUUUAUGCUAAGUUGUUUAGACUUUAUCAGCUAACUGUUUAGUUUUGAGCUUUUCUUUAAUGCACUUUUCAGUUAACAAGUCAACAUCAAUUUCUUUUGCUGUAAAAAAGCUUGAGGAAGGUGGCUUGAGAUUCGUCUUAAGUGUUUAUAGCCUCUUGCCUAUGCAGUCGGAGAGAUUGAGGUCUGCAGCGUAGAUCCUUCGGGGCUAAAUGCAUUUGUGCUAAGUUAUAGCAUUUUAUAGACAACUUGUUGACUAUGAUUUGUCUUGUAGCUUACUCGCUUAUGUUAUUUUACCUACGCUUAGGAUGUUGAGUCGUAGAGCACGCAG
rnacentral:rRNA from 1 species